rnacentral:rRNA from 1 species
GAUGAACGCUGGCGGCGUGCCUAAUACAUGCAAGUCGAGCGAACAGACGAGGAGCUUGCUCCUCUGACGUUAGCGGCGGACGGGUGAGUAACACGUGGAUAACCUACCUAUAAGACUGGGAUAACUUCGGGAAACCGGAGCUAAUACCGGAUAAUAUAUUGAACCGCAUGGUUCAAUAGUGAAAGACGGUUUUGCUGUCACUUAUAGAUGGAUCCGCGCCGCAUUAGCUAGUUGGUAAGGUAACGGCUUACCAAGGCGACGAUGCGUAGCCGACCUGAGAGGGUGAUCGGCCACACGGGAACGGAGACACGGUCCAGACUCCUACGGGAGGCAGCAGUAGGGAAUCUUCCGCAAUGGGCGAAAGCCUGACGGAGCAACGCCGCGUGAGUGAUGAAGGUCUUCGGAUCGUAAAACUCUGUUAUUAGGGAAGAACAAAUGUGUAAGUAACUAUGCACGUCUUGACGGUACCUAAUCAGAAAGCCACGGCUAACUACGUG